rnacentral:lncRNA from 11 species
CGUGACUCAAGGCUCGGGAGUUUGCUGAUGUUGUUGUUGCUGCUGCUGCUGUCGCUUCCGUGGAUGGAGAGGAAAUGGCGAGCCCGGCGCGCUCCUGGCUUCCUUAGCCUGUCAAAACGCGCCUCUUGCCGCCUGCCCUCGUCUGCGUUUGUAGGCGUUUGUAGGAGCGGAAGGCAGGGAGAAGCCCCAGAAGAUGACAUGUUACUUGCAGGGGAUGGUGUCAGGACUCUGGAGACCCAUUCAGUAAAACGAGCAGGAGAAGCUCACAGAACAACAGAACUGGCUCACCACAUUUCAAAAUAAAUGAAGUAAUACUCCGUCGGGAUUGGCAUCCAGCAUCCUUUCCACAAAAGGAAACUUUCUACUGAUAAGACAGAAAAGUGGGUGAUCCUUGUUGAUACCCUUGAUCCCAGCAGUCCCACUUUCUGCUCAUCUUCUCCAGAAGAUUGAAGGCCCUCUGGAAAAGUGCAGGAGGUAACCCUGGAAGCUGCAAAGGGAGUCUAUCUGCUGUCAACUACUUUCCAUCAGCUUCUGCC